rnacentral:misc_RNA from 1 species
GAUGAAGAACGUAGCGAAAUGCGAUAAGUAAUGUGAAUUGCAGAUUUCAGUGAAUCAUCGAAUCUUUGAACGCACCUUGCGCCUUGUGGUAUUCCACAAGGCAUGCCCGUUUGAGUAUCAUUAAAUCAUCAACUCUAAAACCUUUGUGGUUUUUUUUAGAGCUUGGUCUUGAGGGUUUUGCAGGCUUUUUUUUUUUUUUCGAGUCUGCUCCCUUUAAAUGCAUUAGCGAUACUUCCCUAUGCUGAACCGUCUCUUUGACGUGAUAAUUAUCUGCGUCGAAUUUUGGUUCUCGUUGGGCUUGCUUCUAAUCGUCUGUUAAAGACAAAACGGAUUUGGGUGCAUAUAUGCGCCUUUUUCCAAAACCUUUUUUUGAUCUCAAAUCGGGUAGGACUACCCGCUGAACUUAAGCAUAUCAAUAAGCGGAGGA